CUCCAUGAAGCUGGAUUCGCUAGUAAUCGCGCAUCAGCCACGGCGCGGUGAAUACGUUCCCGGGCCUUGUACACACCGCCCGUCAAGCCAUGGAAGCCGGGAGUGCCUGAAGUGCGUGAGCGCAAGCAGCGCCCUAAGGUAAAACCGGUGACUGGGGCUAAGUCGUAACAAGGUACC
rnacentral:rRNA from 1 species